rnacentral:lncRNA from 1 species
CAUCUUUGCUUUCUCAGUCACCAUAUUUGUUACCUUCUCCUUUUCCGCCAUCUACUUCUCCUUGACCCUAACCUCCACCAUCGCAACAUCAAUUAGUGGUAAGUUUUGUAAAAUACACAAAGACCUAUGCCUAUAUGCUCCUCAAAAAUCUUGCUACUUCUCCUUAGUCCAACAAUCAUCCAAUCGGAUCGGCUCCAUAUUAGUCACAAUAAUAUACUCCAAUGGUGGCAACUCAUCCUUGUGCCUUACAUUGCGCUAUUUCUCCCCCU